rnacentral:miRNA from 1 species
CAUGCUUUUUUAUUGUAUUUUUUUUAUUAUAUCUAUAUUAAUAAAAAUAUAAUAAAUAAAAAAUACAAUAAAUUAAUAUU